UGAAACUGGUGAAUGCGUCGGUGAGGCU
rnacentral:piRNA from 1 species